UACGGAGGAUCCGAGCGUUAUCCGGAUUUAUUGGGUUUAAAGGGUGCGUAGGCGGCCUAUUAAGUCAGUGGUGAAAGACGGUAGCUUAACUAUCGCAGUGCCUUUGAUACUGAUAGGCUUGAAUGUACUUGAGGUAGGCGGAAUGUGACAAGUAGCGGUGAAAUGCAUAGAUAUGUCACAGAACACCAAUUGCGAAGGCAGCUUACUAAAGUAUGAUUGACGCUGAGGCACGAAAGCGUGGGGAUCAAACAGG
rnacentral:rRNA from 1 species